AAAUAAACUAAAGAAAAUGCUCUUCAAUACAAAAUUAAAAAGAAAAGAAAAGAAACAAGUUUAAAGGAAGUAAAAAUUAAAAGAACAAACCAAACAAAGGAAAAAAAAAACAAGCCAAAAUGGCUGCCCUCCUACACUUGCAAACAAGCAAGUGUAGGAGAACCAAAGAAAAAAGAAAUAAAAUGUGUUUUUAAAACACUAAAUAAAAGUUUUAACUAACAAAAAAGGUGCCCUGCUGCUUUAGAAAAAAGAAUAUAUAAAAAGAUUGUGAAAAUAAAAAGAUGAAAACACUGUUUAAUAGACUUUGAGCAGGAGCUCACCUCACGCGCGACUGCUCUCGCUCAAGGGUACAGCAGCCGUGUCCCCCAUCUGGGAUUGAACCCACAACCCUCCGUUCAAGAGUCCAAAGCCAUAACCACUGCUCCACACUGCUGCCAUGCUGGGGUCAAUUGAUCCAAACAGUAGACAUCUAAACUGAGAGUCUCUAGAGUAUGUAUGUCUGUCUUCGGGGCUAUGACAUGUAAACCUGUGUAAUUGAACUGAAACUGUGGUUCAAAAGGAAAUUGACCUCUAAACUUGCAUGACAACAGUUGGAGAUAUUUCUCUUGAAUGGAAAUGCAGCCACUAUUCUAAUGACUGAAAAAGCGGUGGAUUCAAACAUUACCACUUUUUAACAAUAAAAAUACAGUGGAACAAAGUCCGCAAAGAAUCAGGUUUUUAAUUUCAAGAAGACGAUAUUUAGAUCUGACACUAUUUACAUCAUUAAAUUUGUCCCUGUUGUCUGCAAAUGUUGCUACUUCUGCUAAAUGACAUUGUUUAUUUACCCACAGAAUGCUUGACAAGUCCAAUCACAUCCGCCAAGACCCAACAAAACAAUUCAACAGGCACGUGUGAUUCUGUUUGUUUUUCAUAAUUUUACUAAACUAAAUAAAAGCAUUUUUUUUAAACUAGACCAAUUUUAUUUUUUAUAACCAUACUGUAGUCUAAAAUAUAGACUGUACUGCUGAAACUGCUAUAUCUGUUCAGAACAACUUUCCCAGUGGCUAUUGAAUGGUACGUAAUUUCAGCUGGAUAUUAUUAUUAUUAUUAUUAUUAUUAUUAUUAUUAUUAUUAUUACAUACAAUAUUUGUGUAUAGUCCACUAAGAUACAGUAAACUAAAAUGUGCAUGUAAAGAAAAUGACAACCCCAAAUUUGUGUUCAAGAGUAUGGCAGUUGCAAAAAACUGUAAGUAUUCUUUAGAUGUUUUAUACAGGUGUAACAGAGUGGAUAGUUAUAAUAGUUAGGCUGGGGGAAUGUUGCGUCAAUUGCAGCAUACUAAGUUUAGUCCACUUGGUGUGUCUAACUAGUGGAUUAACCAGGUUUAGUCCACUUGAUUGGACUAAAGUUAGUACACCUAAUCCCGAUUACAGCGUACAAAAAGUUAAUCGUCACAGGUAGAUCAUCUUUUAAUUCAGACUAAACAAGAUCCUGAUUGCAGUGUACCAAAUCAGAUUCAUGAUGAUCCUGUUCAAGUGGAUUAAUUUAGUACUGUGAAGGAUAAGACUAACUUAAUACGCUUGCUUGUCCUAAACUGAAAUGACGAGUACAUCUGAAAACUUUAUUCUGUACAUUUCUUAUGUCCGUCACGUUCGGGCAGUCAGGUCCAUGAGAAUAAAGUUUCACACAAUGUAUAUAGGUCCUACAUUUGAAGCUUUUUAAUCAUGUACCUUUGAUACCGUUUUCAGUUUAAUGCAAUACAAUUUCAGUUAAUAUGUUUUAACUAUAAACAACUAAUGGUCCAUUAUAACACAAUUCAACUUUCCUGUGCCUAUGCAGCCGUGUCGGCAAUUAAAAGCAAGUAUGAUCUGCCAGUUUGAAAUGUGCACGAAAGACAUGACAUUUAUUUUUACUUAAAUAUGUUUGAUGUAAUACAAAUGUGUCUCUUUUUGUACAGGCAUCCCUAUAUAUCUAUCUGACACUGCAUUCCACAGAUUGGACUAGUAAAGAAGGGUUUAUACAGAUCUGGACAAAUGUUUUGCAUCAAAGAAACUACUAAAAAGUCUACCGGAAGCCAUAUUAGUAGUACAGAGUUUCAUGUUAGAUUUUAAAAUGUCACAUUUUUUAAUUUUCAGUCAGUUUUUUGUUACGUAUAAGGAAAACUACAAAGCAGUAUGUAAUUUUAAUAUAUUAACGUAAGAUUAUUUAGCAGGUUUUAUUCAACUUUAUGAAGUAAAAUGUGUUAAUUCUAUGGGACGAUGCAAAACUUCUGGCCAUAGCUGUAGGUUACUCCUCAUUAUCGGCCUAACUUGUAUUUAUCAGUUAAAACAAUUACCGGGAUCAUCUCUUUCAUAAUUUUCUAUUUUUUCCACAUCAAAAAUGAGGCCCUGUUUAUUUAUAUACCAGCAGUACAAACACAUGCUUAACGGGUACUCAGAAAGGAAUGUAGUGCCUUCACUAAUAGAGUAUGGGCCACAAACAACAGGUUUAAAUAUUUGAUUUCCACUAUUUACAUCAUUAAAUCAAAUUUAUGUUGGUCUGAAUUAUUACAAAUAUUGUAAAGCUGACCACCUUUUUAACCUAACGAUGAAGAUUUAAUAAACACUAUUGUACACAUUAUACUAUGAGAUUAAAUUGUCACCCCUGCUCUUCAUAUGUUAACAUGUAGAUGAGCCGCUCAGGGGGGUCAGGUUCGGCUCACAGAAAUACUUCUUAUCCCUGUGUUGUGUCUCCACACAGCCGGUGCAACCACUGAUUCUGUCUCUCCCUCAAUUCAGAGUCAUACGGGCUGGGGAAUGACAUCAGAAUCUUCCUAUCCCUGGGGAUCCUUCUUGUGCUCUCAGGUAUUGUGGGGGAAGACUUCUAUAGCAGACAGAGGAAGCACCACGGGGAAGACACCAAUGGACAAUAAACAGGCCUGUCAUUCAAAGCUGUCCUUUGAUCUGCAGUGCAGGUGGAACACAUCUUGUAAUACGACACAAACGACUCACAAGUUACAAAGAAAUAUCCUGCGAGGAAAAGGAGAGCUCUGCAAAGAGCACCACGCUGUGCAAGCAAAGUAAAAGUGUUGCUAUCUUGUGUUAUCUGCUAACAUGUGCAAGCUUAUUGUAAGACAAGUUCCUGAAUUCAACAAUGCUGAUUGUAUAAAGUGUUACUGAACACCCUGAAGUGUUUCAAGAUACGCAAUACUUUGCUUUUGCUGUAUCUAUUUUCCAUACAUUCUUCAAUGUAGGCAUGUUUUUUUCACACCUCAUAUAUUUAUAUGAAUAGAUAACAUAUUUCUCAGGCGUGUUCGUCAGGAGGAGAGAAGUUCUCUUAAAAACAUCAUAGUGUAUCCAGAUCGUGCUCCCGCUUGCAACAAAGCUGCUGCUCUGAAUGAGUGCUUGUUGUGGAAAUUAGCAUGGUUGUAAGAAGGAGCAUGAACUCGAUAUUCUACAGGCUGAUUCAUAAUUCACACAGCAUUGUCAGAUCAUUGAGAAAACUGGAGCAUACGUGGAGGAUGAUCUGCAAAGGAGCAAUGUCUGUGACUGAGACUGUUUGGCAAUCAGGGAGUUAUUCAAUAAUGUCAACAUUGAAGGACAACUGAUAACAAUGUAAAACAACAAUGCUGUGCAAAUGUUUCACCCUGUAUGUUAAAACCAACAUGAUCUUUUCUGGCUAAUGAUGCAGAUUAAUGUAUUUUCAACUGAUUAUGAAGUGUGAAUCAAAAAUAUUAAAACAAUCAGAAAUGUGUUUAAAACUAUACUGACAACAAGGGAUACAUCAUAGAUAAAGUAAUGUGUUGUAAACAAUGUAGGGUGUUCUGUAACACACAACAAUAUUGUUCUUUUAAAUGUGUUGUGUAUUAAACCGUAGUGUUACUUGAAUUAAAACCAAAACAUACCUUAUGUGUUCAAAUUGGUAA